GUCACACUCUGAGGUUCCAGGGAGACGUGAAUUUGGGGGGAACACUAUUCAACCCAGUAAAAACUCAUUACCCUAUUGUGCAGUAAACGUAGCACUGGCCUAAAAAUUAGAAUAGUCCUAGGUACUAAUUCUGCCUGUGCUACUAAUUUUAUGGGUGCAGACUUUGGAAUUCACGAUCAGAGGUUCAAAUCUCAGCUGUCACUUAAACUCAGUGAGUCUCAGUGUCUUCAUCUGUAAACUGAGGAUAAUUAUACCUAUGUUUUAGGUUGGACUAAAUAAGAUCAUGCUUUUUAGGUGCCUGGCAUAGUGCUUAGCAUAUUGUAGGUGCUUAACAAAUGUUUGUUUUCUCCUACCCAUUUCUUCUUAUUUUCUCCACAGUAAAAUCAUGAGUUUAUUUUUAAGAUAGUUCCAGCUUCAUAGUUAUGACAGCUCCUUUAAACUAUUUCUUCUUCAUACUCUGCCUUAUCCAUUUCUCUCCUCCCUUUUCUUUUUGUCAAUUUAGCCCCUUCAUUCCAGUGUUUUGUUCCCACUACCCCCAUUUUCUUCCUAAUUCUCUUCUUUCCAAUUUUAUUCCUUGUGGCUAGGAUGACAUUUAUCUGCUUUGCCCAGUAAUAGUCCUAGUUUAUGCCUGUGGUACCAGUGUAAUUAUUGAUAAUGUCCCCUUUCAUUCUUAUAGGGCUCUGGUUUGGAUGAUGUGUUAUAUGGUCACCCUACUAAGAGUGUUCUCAUAGUACUUGGACCUUCCUCUAUCAUUGCAUGAUCUGCAAUGUAUCAUGUGCAUUUUAAUUGUUUUGUGGGUCUGUCUCUUUGGCAGGAUUGAGAGCAGCAACUGGGAAUGAUUUUCUGUGUUUCCCCAAAGUCUAGCACAUUCCUGGCUCAUGGGGGCUGGUGCUCAGCAAUGUUUGUUGGACAUAUGAAUGUUCUUGAAAACUUGCUUCUUUCUGUGUAUAGCAGGCACUCAAUAAAUAAUCUUUAAAUUGAAGUAGAUUGCUGCCCUUUAUGAAAGUGAAAAAUGAACCCAAUAAGAACACUGUUCCUCUCUCUGCCUUCCUUUAUUUGUUGUCAUUAGCUUAGAGAUCUCACUUUACUUCCAGAUUUGUGACUCAUUUCUUCUUCUUGCCUCACCCUUAGCUAUUUUGAUUCUUUGAAAACUGGAGUUAUCCUUUUCACGACUCCCGUGGGUGCUGUGGUGACCUGCUUUCCAGUUGCUGCAUGUUUUAGGCAAGUGUAUCUCCAUGAUUAGAAUCUCACCACUGGCCCAGGCUCCUGAGGCUUUCUCUGUUCUGUUGUCUGUUUCAGAAGCACUUUAUCUGCCAUCUUGUUUCUAGCUUUGAGGCCACACCUUCUGUUGAUUGCUUCAUCUUGUUGCUGUGUCUAUACAAGCGAAAUUAGGUGGAUAAUCAAAUCAAUGAUGGGUUUAAUUCAGGCCUCAAAGUCAUUUUUGCCUGACACUUUUUCCUGUUGCUUUUGGCUCAGGGCCUCAGCACACCACCCUGCUUUUUUUUUUUUUUUUUUUUUACCCUGCUUUUUGUUUGUGGGUUGGGAUCUUCUAUGCCAUGGGAAUAUUUUCUAGGCCUGUCAUAUAGUUCAAAUGGUGGAAAACAUUUCCCCUCUUCAGGAAUUAUGAAAUUGAAGCCACCUGGAUUGAGUAAAUGGGUUGCGCUUCUUGCUAAUGGCUGAAAAUUGGCAUUUACUCAGUUUUCAAGAAACAAUUAUUGAAAAUGUACUAAGUAUAAAUAAUGAUACCAAUAAUUUUUGACUUUGAGAGUUUUAUAGAGGCUGUGGAGGUGUGCUGCUCAAAUCAACUUUCAUUAAGAACCUCCUGCAAAGAGUGUGGUUCAUCCAGAGUCUCCAGCUGCAGCACCUUUGGGAUCAGCCCCUGUUUUCACACUGCCAGGCCUCACUCUUCCCGGGCUUCUCUCAGCUGGUGACUGAGUGCAGCCAUUUCUGCCCAACACGGGACACCUCUAAUGGGUAAUCUUUGCUUAAGGACUCCCAGUCGGCCUGGCUUAGACUUUCUCAAAGGUGUACUUCAGUCUGACCUUCCUAUUACCCAGUCUUUUUUCUUGUCUCCUCUUCUUUCCCAAGUGUCAGACCUGCGUCAUGGUCUGAAGACUCUCCCCAUUAUGCCUGCUGCCUCUUCUCUUAAUUCUUCACAGGUAUUUCUCCCAAGAAAUCUCCUGCAUGACUCAUUUCAUCUUGGCACCUGUUUCUUGGAAGACUCAAGCCAACACAAGUUCCUAAUCUGGUAGUGAAGAUGAAAGAAACGUGUGCACAAAUAAUGCAAAAUACUCUUCAUUCCAUUCCUCUACAACAAUACCUUGACUGUGAAGAAUGGUUUCAAUAAGGAGGACAGAAUGACUUCUGACAGGAAGGUUGGGAGCUGUGACAUGCAGAAGAAAAAUGAAGCCAAUCAGCAUGGAGAAUCAGAAAUCCUAAAGAACCUGUUGGCAGCUUCUCCUGGUGAAGACAUAUCUUCCAUCACUGGUGAUCAGCUUCCUAAUUCUGACAGAUACAUCUGCCCAGGAAAGUACCUGGACCAAGAAUAACUAGUGGUUUUCUGUGUUAUGGGGACAUCUGGUUCCUGUUGACUGCCAUUUGAGACAUCCUGCUGUUUCAUCUUAAAGUCUUGGUCCUGAGUGUAUUCUGAACAGAGGUUGAAGAUGACCAAACCCUUCAACACUGUACAGAAUCUUGUCUGGUACUGGUCUCUGGGACAGGACCAGUGUGAGCCUCCUGCUUCUCCCCUUGCUGUUGUAUCUUGUCAUAGAAGCUUUCAGCUCUUGGCACUUGAUCAUGUGUACCAAUAAUCACGACUCUCUCUAGAUUGAAAGUCACUGUGCCCUCUGAGUGCUUUCUACAAAAAUUCUCUAAUUUUAGCCUGACCUUCCAAAAUCUUCUCCUAUCUUCUCCUUCUUCCUACCUUUAAAAUCUUAGGUCUUACCACAACCCUUCCAAUCUGAUUUACUUGGAUUUCCUAGACAUAUUUGUCCUCUCUUACAUCUUGUAGUCAGGUCAUUGCUUCUGUCUGUAUGUCUUUCUUCUCUCCCCUUUAGAGUCCUUCCAAGUCUUCAAGGUGCAACUCAAGUUUCACUUUGUUUUGAUACCUUCUCUGAACCAUAUGAAAUUUUCUACAGAUUCAUAAUCCCUUAUCUUCAAUUCUUAAAUUCAAGAUGCUCUGAAAACUGAAAGCUUUUAAAUAACUCAUUUAGUAGCAAAACCUAGACUAAUCUGAAACAAAUUGGAGACAAAACUUGAAUUGCACUGACUUGUCUUUAUCUGUAGUUUUUAUCUCAUGUAGUGUGUAUAUUCAUAUUCUGAUUGAUUGUGAUGUGCUAUCCCAGACCCUGCUGGGGUAAUAUAUAAUAUUACAUAUUACCUGUAUAAAAUCUAAAAUAGUCUUGAGUUCAGAAACUCAUCUGCCCCCAAGGGUUUUUGUAAUAAAAUACGGUUCUGUUAUUGUCCUUAUGGAGAAACUACUGUAUAUCUCUGUUUUUAAAUUUUAUGAUCCAUCUGAAGAUGCUUUAAUAAAGCUAACUUCUAGCAUAGAUUGG